GACGGAAGGUGCAAGCGUUACUCGGAAUUACUGGGCGUAAAGCGUCCGCAGCCGUCCUUAUAAGUCUAGCGUAAAAGCACGAAGCUCAACUCCGUGUACGUGCCGGAAACUGUAAGGAUUGAGUCACCCAGAGGCAUCUGGAAUGCUAUGUGUAGGGGUAAAAUCCGUUGAUCCAUAGUAGAACGCCAAAAGCGAAAGCAGGAUGCUGGGGGUGUACUGACGGUCAGGGACGAAAGCGUGGGGAGCAAACGGG
rnacentral:rRNA from 1 species